rnacentral:tRNA from 1 species
GGCACUGUGUCUUGAUGGUUAAAGUGCCUGUCUUGUAAACAGGAGAUCCUGAAUUUAAAUCUCAGCAGUGCCU